AUUACAUUUGUUCUCCGAGUUUUUAUAGAAGCCCCAUCGCUAUCACCAUCACUAUUUUGAUUUUUCCAAGAUGGCCGUUUUUGUUUCGCGAACGUUCUGCGAGGAGAGUUCGGCGACUUGCGUGACUUACGAACAGAACUGCCUAAUUGUACCUACAAUUGAGUAAAUUGUUUUAGAGGAGGGGAUGCCCAGCUUCAGCAGCUUCAAUGUGCGAGGAACACUCCAGCCCCCUCAACAAAGCUGGAGGUGCGGAUAGAGUUGAGAUUUUAACUGACUAAUGAAUGCUGCAUCGGAUGUUAUGCAGUAUGCCGCUUGUGCCUGGACAAUGGAAGAUGAUGCAAAGGCCAAAAGAAAGCUACUCUGCAUCUGCACUCUGAAUAAUGUGAUGUCUCGGUAGCUACACAUGCUUUGUUAAAGGGAAGUUUAUUUCGCCACUUGCUAGGCAUCAUUGAGCAAGGUGAUCAUGCAGACGGCGACGCAAUGAAGCGUGGAAAUGGGCACCUAAGAGCUGCACUCUAAACCAGUUUUUCUCUGUUGCCGGUGCACAAGCAGGUAAGGGCGGAUAGCAUUCCUAGUGCCAAUUCCUUUGCGGUCAACGAAAAACGCUUUUUGAACAACGCUCUUUCUGUUUUAAGUAUUGUGCAGGCCUUAAGUUUACUAUAAGAACAACAACAACAA